CUUUUUAAUGCUUUUCCCACUAAAUACAAUUAACCUGCUGCAAGUUUCCACGACAUUUAUUUCACAGAACAACAAAUCGGAAUCUCCUGUAAAACAGGCAUCUGUGAAGCCCCCUCAGCCAUUUUGUGUGCUAGCCUGAAACAAAGCGCGUGAUUGGCCAACUGGCAGACAACUCAAUGUUAAACGUGCUUUGAUUGGACUAAAAAAUACCCGAAAUUUUUCUGGUUUUUCUCUAAUUUAAUAAAAAUGUGCAAGUCUUCUUCAUAUCGAGUUUCAGGGGUGAUUUAUAUAAAUAUUGUUACACAAUAUGUGAAAAUUUCAUGUAGUUUGGUGACUUGGGUCACAAAAUCCUAUUUCUAGACACAUUUUUGAUGCUCGGCCCACAGCCUAACUUUAAGAUGUUUGCCUUCCACCACAGUGAGGAGGUGCCUGGUGAACUUACUGUGGUGGAUGUUAAAUUUAUGUUUAUUGUGUGUUUUUGUCAUUUUUAUUAUAUGUAUGACUGCAAGGCAAUGAAAUUUCGUUCAGACCGAAAGGUCUGAAUGACAAUAAAGGCUACUUUACUUUACUUUUAAAAAAAAACUGGCAUCUUGUUGAUGGCAAUGGUCUUGGAGGGGUCAGGUCUGAGGUCAUCACUGGUAAAUACGUGUCCGACAUACUGGACCUCGUUGACGCGGAAUCUGCACUUUAGAGGGUUGAGCUUGAGGUAGAUGUCUUUUGCGCGGUCCAGUAUUUUUUUUUAAUUGGCAUUAUGUUCAGCCAUGUCACGUCCAGCAACGAAAAUGUUGUUGACAAUGAUGGCACAAGAAUAUCCCAUAAAUAAUUGUUCCAUUGUACGCUGGAAUACCUCGCUAACAGAGUUGAUGCCAAAGGGCAUCCGCAGAAAUUUGUAGCGGCCGAAGGGGGUGCCUAACGUGGUGAGAUUGGACGAGUUGGGGUCCAGGGGGAUCUGCCAGAACAAAAUAUUGGCAUCCUGAACAGAAAACACAGAGGCACCGCCUAGCUGAGCAGCAACUUCUUCCACCAUGUUAGUGCGGGCAUUUGAUCGCUGUGUUCAGGUCUCUGGGGUUGAUACAAAUUUGGAUUUCUUCUUUGUUUUUCUUUGUUGCAACCACCAUGGUGGAAACCCAGUCGGAUGGGUCGGUAACCGCGCCAAUGACACCCAGGGACACCGUGCGCUGGAGCUCAUUGUGCACUCUGUCACGCAUGGCAUGUGGAAUGCGGUGUGGUGCUCGUACUACAGGCGGAGCUUAUAAUAAUAAAGCACUACAUUCGUUAUUAAGUAAAGUAACCAAUCUACAUCUGGUAAAAUGCACAUGAACAAGCCAUCUUCACUUAUCUGUCUCAGAUCCUCUUGCAUUUAUUUUCCUUGGGUUUGAAAUGCUGGCACCAACUUGAACAGCUGCAGUCAAGCUUGUGUGGUCCUGAGAUUCUGAGAGCGAUGCCAUCUGGAGUUAUGUUCCUGGUAGGGCCACCCAUGGCGGUACGGUCGAGGGGAGGCCCCUGACAAAGAGCAAUCCAACCAAGACCUCAACGGUGGAACAGGCGGAGGAUGAUGGCUAACUUUAGUGGAGCAUCACAAUGGCUGGGAAGGCAGAUAAAGGCUGCAGCAGAAAAGGAUCCCCUGGUCAUCUUGGACAUCAUGCCACUGGAUCCUGACCGAGAUCUGUCAAGAACCAUGUGGUGGCUGCCUGUGCACCAGCCUCCCCACGUUAAACAAAGUCACGCACAGGCAUCCUCCCAAAAGAGGACAGUCAUACUCGUUACGAGUGACCGCCUAUAAUGAUGAUAUCCUACCUUCCACCAAUUCUGGUUCACUGCUGCCCUGAACUAAUGUACGUUGGAUCGUUAUCCACCGAUGCCUCAUUUUCAAACAACUAUCUUUACAUCUUACUGUCCCUUAAGUAUCUACCUCUCCCACUUCCACCCUCUCUUUCCCACCUUACCAUUCAUACAGUGUGGAAAUAGGCCCUUCAGCCCAACUUGCUCAUGCCCACCAACAAUCUCACCCAACUCUCCCAGGUGUGUGACUUCAACUUGUUUAACCCUUAUCAGUCAGCCCACCCAGCAUAGGCGGUGAGUGCAGUUGUUAGGCUGAACCCAAUGCAAUCUGGCCCAUCUUCUUUACAAGUUACAGACCAUUGUAUUUAUUAAUAAUUAAGUGUUAAAAGUGAAAGCUUACAUAUUUUCAGGAGUUUAGUUUCGAGAAAUAGCGUGUAAACAGGCUCUUUGGCUAACCGGGUCUAAGCCGACCAGCGAUCCCCGCACAUUAACACUAUCCUUCACACACUAGGGACAAUUUUUAUAUUUACUAAGCCAAUUAACCUACAAACCUCUACGUCUUUGGAGUGUGGGAGGAAACCAAAGAUCUCGGAGAAAACCCCACGCAGGUCACGGAGAGAAUGUACAAUCUCCGUGCAGACAGCACGCGCAGUCGGGAUUGAACCCGGGUCUCCGGCGCUGCAUUCGCUGUAAGGCAGCAACUCUGCCGCUGUGCCACUGAGUUCUUGGGCAUAAUAUAUUUCUGAGGCUGCAGGAACUGGAACAACAUGUUCAGAUUUAUAUGUUACAUUUCUAAAAACCAACAGUAGAUGGCAGCAAUUAUUUUGCUCUUCAAUUAUUUCAUUAGUUAUUUCUGUUAUUAUUCAGUGGCUGUCAUUUUCAUGAGUUUGCAAAACAGAAGUGAAAUAUUACUAUGGAUUCACAGCGCUAUAACAUGCUGAACUUUACAAGCAUUACCAGCAGUAGGAGAAUAAAAUAGCAAACUAACACGCCUAUUCAUUAGAGGAACAAGGAACUGCAGAUUCUUGUUUACAAAAUAAAAAGAUAUAGUGCUGCAGUAACUCAGUGGGUCAGGCAGUAUCUCUGGAGAGCAUGAAGAAAUGACAUUUUGUGUCGAGAGCCUUCCUCAGAUUGAUUGUGGUGGGGUGAGGAGAGAAAGCUGGAUGAGAGGAGGUGAAGGCCUGGGGAGUGAUAGGUAUGUACAGGUGAGUUUUUUUUUUGAAAG